AGGGAGUAAAGCCCUAACAAUACAGACUAGAAGCUGAAAGACCAUCUGCUGACUCUCUAUAGAAAGGGAAGUCUCUGGCUUGGUGGCUGCUGCAGGAGACCCAGGGGCCUGACUAGAGUGGAGGGAAAUAGGAGGCACACAUGGCUGGGUGAAGGGUCCAGCUUCUUUCCCUGGACCAUUGCUGAGGGGAACUGCAUUCUGCCACCAUGGUGGGUGUAUAAUGCUACUACCCUCGUCUUGAAUAGGGGAUCUGAGGCUACAAGUAGGAGGAGAGGCCUGUUUUUUCUGUCUGGCUGCUAUAAUUCCUUUUUAAAACCUUUUCAAAGUGCCUCUGUAUGAAUAAUCCUCUUGAGAAGAAGUGCACUAAAGUAUAAGAUACAAAUCCAAAAAAAAAAAAAAAAAAAAAAUAGAAGCAGCAUGAUGUUCCCACAGAUGUAGAUCUAAAAAGUGCCUUUAAGCGUUUUUUGGUCUCUACAUAAAGGUCUCUGGUGUCCUUAAAGCUUCAGUCCUGUGCGGGAUCUCUGGGAAUAUGAGACUAAUAAUUAAGGUUAGAAGCCUGGCAGUCUUGGUAGUGCUGUGUAGCUGUAAAAGGAAGCUGAGUCUUGAAUCAUGAGAAGAAGUGGUAGAAAACAUUUAAGCUACUGACUUUCUAUCUCUCUUGUCUGAGUUAAAGUGAGACAAUUUUCCUUCCAGCACCUGGCUAUUUCUUCUCAGUCUGCCACUUUGGAGAGCCUCCUCUUCUCCAAAGGGGGGAAGCAGCCGGGGAGAGGCUGGGAGACAGCAACCAGAGCUGGGGAGGCAGCACUCCUGACAGAGAAACAGCCCUUGCCAGCAGGACGGGUCCUCUACAGGUACACUGUGUGUCCUGGCUCCUCUCAGAGACAUUUGUUUUUCUCCCUUGGUUGUUACUGCUUUUCACUCCUUUGAGGGUUUCUGCAAGGAUUUCAGAUUUACUUCAUUUUUUGGAUAUAUUCAAGAAAAUGGAUCCUUCCAUAUCCUUAUUUCUAGAAGGAAGCAGAUGCAGGUACUGCUGUUAGACCAUGGUACUAGCCUGUCUUGUAUUUUUCCUAUGCGGAAGUUUUACAUAGAAUGACAGAGAAAACCAAGUAUUGGCCAAUACAGUAGAUCACAUGAUUUUUCUUUUGUGUUUUGCAUGUCACUGUGACCUUCUUGUCUCCUUAGAAGCAGGUCAGGCUAUAGUGCCUCAAGCAGCACUUUUCUCUUGCCCAUAAAUAGCAAGCCUGCAAUUACGGAAAGCCACGGUUAUCUGAAUUGGUAACAUAGGAUUGGUAUAUAAUUGCACAGCGACCUAAGAGAGUAAGCUUAAAUGACUUUCUGCAUCUCCCUCAUCUCUUGUUGCUUCUGUAAAUACACUCUACGUUGUUUCUGUGAUUAGUUAAUUCUUACACGUGGAAGUUGCAUGCCUUGUGUCAUUUUUCGUAAGGUUCUCAAGAGCAGAUUGAUCAGGUGCUUUUAGGAGCAUGUCUGCCAUCAGCAGCUAAUGUUGCAGUUUAUACAGUACUGAUGAGUAGUACAGGAACAGUUGAAAAAGGCCAGUUUUCUCAAGAUGUAAUUCCUCUGUAUGCAUGCUGCAUUGUCAUGGCCAUUUUUUGCCAGAACUGCUCUCCACUGCAUAUGCCUGUGUGCAGUAACACUCUAAUUCAGUAAGUAUUCUGGGAGCAUAGGUCAUUCACACCCAAAGUUCAUCAUAUUCUGGCACAUGCACUGAGCCUUAUGUUGCUUUUUGAGGUGUUUGUAGAAAACUUGCUCUGUCUUUUGGUGUAAAAGCAUGCAAGGAUGAUGGCUUCAUCUUAAGCCGUUCAAAGCAGAGAAGUCCCUUCUGGGGAGGCCAUUUCAGCUCCGUUUCUCUGUACAAGGACAUGAUGGUGAACAUGGGCUGACAAGACCAGUACGAACAUUCCUCCAGAGUUCAGUAUGCCUGCAUGCCACUGCAUUAGUUGUAUCUUAUUUUCACGCUUUCUCCUAGCGAUACUUUUUGUAUGACCUUCAAGUUAUCUCUUGAAUUUCAGUUCUGCU
rnacentral:lncRNA from 1 species